CAAAACUCGUGUGUAUUAAUAUCAUCGUGAAUUUAUUUUUCUACUUUCGAGCCUAAGGAAAAACGUAUACAUUAUGAUGUUUAAGUACUUAUGUCAUAUGUGGAAAAACUAUCUGAUAACUGAAUUUUCUUCAGGUAAAUGAUGUAAUAGUAGAGGUGGUGGAAGGUGAUGCUAGAAAUGUUCUCUGUGAUACAGUGGAAAAGUACCGUGCUUCAAUCUUGGUUGUGGGUAGUCACGGUUAUGGGGCUAUAAAAAGGGCGGUUUUAGGUAGUGUGAGUGACUACUGUGCUCAUCAUGCUCAUUGCACUGUGAUGAUUGUGAAGAAGCCAAAAACCAAGCACUGAUCUAUAUUGGCAUAUCCUGCAAGAAUAAAUAUAUAAUCCUUUCAGCAGAAGUGAAAUAGCAAUGUUCUCAGAAAGUUUGUGACUUAGUUUAUCCUAUGGCAUGUUUGGUUUGUAGUUUAUGAUAGAAAAUAUGCAAUUGUGUGGAUUGUUGUUGCCUCCUACCCGGGGGCCUUAUUUUAUUCUGUAUAUGAAAAUU